AGCAACAUUCUGACUUGAAACCUCUCUUCUGAUCCAGGAACAACUAUCCUGAGCUGCUGUUCGUGAUUCAGGUUGGCAUCAAUCAAAUUGGAAGCACAUGAAUUAUACAUUAUUGUUUCUGAGCCACAGUUUUUUGUUUUUAUCUGCUAAAGACAUGAAGAAUGGGAACACUACCAUUGCAUCUCCCAGCCCCAGAGAAGGAUGUUCACUCCCAUGUUCUCACCUUUUUUUGAUGGCUAUAACUUUGUCAUUCAUAUUUUUAAAAAAUUGUGGGUAGAUGUUUUGGAUUUUUUUAAGAUAUACAGUAAAUACCAAGUUCUUAAAUUUUCCCUCGCUGCUUCCAGAGGAGGCUGGUAUAUUUUUUCUCUGUUCAACAAAGAGAGAAGUAUCAAGUUUUAGUUAUCUUCUACAGCACAUCUUUUGAGUAAAGACAUGCAAGUAGUACUGAAACGACUGCAAUGUGAUAAUCAUGGAGACUGGACUGGUUCAACAUCCAGAUGUUUCGAUUUUUUUGAUAAAUCAAUCUCCAAGGUUCAGCUCAUUCACAGUGUGAGGCUACUUACCUGUUCAAAGUACAUCACUUUUGUCCUCCAGUUUUCAUAUUGGCUUCCUGUCAAGAUAAGACAUCAUAAAGAAAAUAACACAACUUUUCUAAAGGUCAGUGGGACAUCACAGAAAAAUGAUGUAUCAAGACCUUCGGUUAAUCAAAUUAAUGAGGCAGGACGAAGAUAGUCCCUGUUAACCGCCUUGUUUGGAAGCAAAAUUCCUUCUAUUAUUACAUGGUAUUAUUGUGAUCAAAAGAUAAUAAAUAUAUGAUUCCAAAC
ensembl:lincRNA